rnacentral:misc_RNA from 1 species
GAUGAGAACGUAGCGAAAUGCGAUAAGUAAUGUGAAUUGCAGAAUUCAGUGAAUCAUCGAAUCUUUGAACGCACCUUGCGCUCUUUGGUAUUCCGAAGAGCAUGCCUGUUUGAGUGUCAUGAAAAUAUCAACCUUGACUUGGUUUUGUGCUCUAGUCUCGGCUUGGAAUUGGGUGCUUGCCGCUUUUACGAGCGGCUCACCUUAAAUGUAUUAGCUGGAUCUGUCUUUGAGACUUGGUUUGACUUGGCGUAAUAAGUAUUUCGCUAAGGACAUUCUUCGGAGUGGCCUCGUUUCUAGGACGCUUGUCCGCUUUCCAAUACAAGUUCCACCUCGUGGACAUGACUUUUUAUUAUCUGGCCUCAAAUCAGGUAGGACUACCCGCUGAACUUAAGCAUAUCAAUAAGCGGAGGA